rnacentral:rRNA from 1 species
AGCUCCAAUAGCGUAUAUUAAAGUUGUUGCGGUUAAAAAGCUCGUAGUUGGAUUUCAGCUGAGGAUGACCGGUCUGUCCUUUACGGAACGGAACCUGGAUUAUCUGAGGCAUCUCUUGGUGUACGUUUUGGUACUUGAUUGUGUCAAGCGGACUCCAGGGCUUUUACUUUGAGGAAAUUAGAGUGUUUCAAGCAGGCAACUGCCUUGAAUACAUUAGCAUGGAAUAAUAAGAUAGGACUUUGGUUCUAUUUUGUUGGUUUCUGGGACCGAAGUAAUGAUUAAUAGGGAUAGUCGGGGGCAUUCGUACUUAACUGUCAGAGGUGGAAUUCUUGGAUUUGUUAAAGACGAACUACUGCGAAAGCAUUUGCCAAGGAUGUUUUCA